rnacentral:rRNA from 1 species
UACGGAGGGAGCUAGCGUUGUUCGGAAUUACUGGGCGUAAAGCGCACGUAGGCGGCUUUGUAAGUUAGAGGUGAAAGCCCGGGGCUCAACCCCGGAAUUGCCUUUAAGACUGCAUCGCUUGAAUCCAGGAGAGGUGAGUGGAAUUCCGAGUGUAGAGGUGAAAUUCGUAGAUAUUCGGAAGAACACCAGUGGCGAAGGCGGCUCACUGGACUGGUAUUGACGCUGAGGUGCGAAAGCGUGGGGAGCAAACGGG